rnacentral:rRNA from 1 species
AGGGCACCACCAGGAGUGGAGCCUGCGGCUUAAUUUGACUCAACACGGGAAAACUCACCCGGCCCGGACACUGGAAGGAUUGACAGAUUGAGAGCUCUUUCUUGAUUCAGUGGGUGGUGGUGCAUGGCCGUUCUUAGUUGGUGAGUGAUUUGUCUGGUUAAUUCCGAUAACGAACGAGACUCUAGCCUACUAAAUAGAUCGUCGGCUUACAAACGCCGGCGAGACUUCUUAGAGGGACAGGCGGUGAUUCAACCGCACGAAACAGAGCAAUAACAGGUCUGUGAUGCCCUUAGAUGUCCGGGGCCGCACGCGCGCUACACUGAAGUGAUCAGCGUGCUUUUUCAACCUACUCCGUCAAGAGUGGGGAACCCAAUGAACCUUCUUCGUGAUUGGGAUAGGGGAUUGUAAUUAUUCCCCUUGAACGAGGAAUUCCCAGUAAGCGCGAGUCAUAAGCUCGCGUUGAUUACGUCCCUGCCCUUUGUACACACCGCCCGUCGCUACUACCGAUUGAAUGUUUUA